rnacentral:rRNA from 1 species
AUGGCGUACUCUUGUCUGCCCUUGUAUGCGCCUUCCUUUCUUGUAGUGCUUCUCGUUUUGCCUCUCAUGGCAGUGGCAUCCGCCGCCGCGCCCGCCGCCGAGACGUCCUACGAGACCAAGUCCUUGGACCCCGGCCUCGCCCUUAUGACGCUGCCGCAGCCGGUGUCCGGCCCGGAGAGCCUCGCCUUCGACCGCCGCGGCGGUGGGCCUUACGCCGGCGUCUCCGACGGCCGCGUCUUCAAGUGGCGCGGCCGCCGCCUCGGCUGGACCGAGUUCGCGUACAACUCCAGACACAAGAGCGUGGGGAUGUGCGCGGCGAAGAAGAAGCUGGUGGUGCCGGAGAGUGUUUGCGGCCGGCCGCUGGGGCUGCAGUUCCACCACAAGUCCGGCGACCUGUACGUCGCCGACGCAUACCUGGGGCUGAUGAGGGUGCCGGCGCGCGGUGGGCUGGCGCAGGUGGUGGCGACGGAAGCCGGCGGCGUGCCCUUCAACUUCCUCAACGGCCUGGACGUCGACCAGAAGACCGGCGACGUCUACUUCACGGACAGCAGCAGCACAUACCGAAGGAGCGAGUACCUACUGGUGGUGGCCCUGGGCGACGAGACAGGGCGGCUGCUCCGGUACAACCCGCGGACGCGCCGCGUCACCGUGCUCCACGCCGACCUGUCCUACCCGAACGGCGUGGCCGUCAGCGCGGACGGGUCGCACGUCGUGGUGUCGCACACGGCGUUGUCCGAGCUCCGCCGGUACUGGGUGCGCGGGCCCAAGGCCGGCACGAACGAGACGUUCGCGGAGCUGCCGGGGUUCCCGGACAACGUGCGCUCCGACGGGCGGGGCGGGUACUGGGUGGCGCUGACUCACGGUGGCGACGACGGCGUCGCCGCGCCGACGGUGGCCGUGAGGGUGGGCCGCGACGGCGCCGUGGAGGAGGCGCUGGGCGGGUUCAGUUUCGAGACGGUGAGCGAGGUAGGCGAGCGGAACGGCACGCUCUGGGUCGGCUCCGUCGACACGCCCUACGCCGGCGAACUCAAAAGAUACUAG